rnacentral:lncRNA from 1 species
GGAAAAGGAGGGCAGGGAAUUUGGAAACAAAUCGUUUUCCCUUAUGGUAAAAUGUAGGUAAUAAACAAGACCGCCAGAAACACCAAGAUGAUCUCAAGCAAGAGCCAAGUCACUCAGGGUUUCAAGUUCAGAGACACAAUGGCAAUGAAUGGACCACACCAAAUCUACAGUGAAUAUGCAGCAAGAGACCUGAGCCAAGUAACCCCAGCACAGUCUGAGAUGUGCAAGGCAGAAGCAAAUUUAAGGAGAAUGAAACGGAAAGCAAGGCCCAAUUAAAAUCCAAAUGAACAGGAAGCACGAUGCAAAAGCAAACUUGGAAAAAGCCAAGGCGAGAGAGGAACACUUUGGAAGAAGGUGAGACAAAAAGAAAACCGCAGGAGAAAUGUCCUCUGCAGCC